GUUCUCUUCCCCACCUUUUCGCGGAUGCCCACGGCUCUACUCGCGGAGACUUGGCUGUGCCUCUCUCAUGCAGUGGCAUCAACAUUCCGUUCGAGUUUUCUGGAUGAACCUUGCACGCCUUGCAGACAGACCGCCACCUGCUGUCACUCCGGAUUUGCACUAGCGCGCCCUGAGCUUUCGACGCCCUUCGCUGAGGUCUGGGAUCGAGGAAGAAACGUGCUGGACGCGAGACCUGGAAGAAAGUGUAUGUGCUGCCAAAGUGAGCACUACAUUCAGUUUUAAAACAGCCUCUCCACGAUCUUAUCUCAUCAGUGCUGCAGAGAUGCUGAAGUAGGACCCUGACUUCUGAGGAGCAGGAAGUGCUGGACAGCUGAUCCUACUUGUCUUGGAAUUGCCUCCUGGAAUCUCCUGUGCGUUAUAUACUCAGCCCUCCAAGCUCCUGAAAUCUCAUCUCUAUAAAACCAGCCCAGUCUAAACCACAUCCUGUUGCCUCUGUAGGAAAUUUCUCUCAAGAUCCCUUUGCUCACAGAUACUGUCCUACCACUGUGUCUACCUGUUGCCCUCUCUGUGGAGUUACUGCUGCAUCACAUCAGUAGUUCUACUCAGUCUGUCAUAAACCCUGGAGGCCCAGCCUUGAGUCAUCUUCAGCUUCUUUGCUUGCACCUGAUUCAUUGUUGGACCUGGGGCUGGGCGGACAGCAGGCGCCUAGUAGAAAGCCUGGCCCGAGCCAUGGCGUCAGGAUGUGGCCGGCCUUGCUUUGACUACAGUCUGUUCUCUCCUGACUGAGCAGGUUACUUUCAAAAUUUGCCCCUGUAAGGCGGACACUAUUGUUAGAACCACUGGUUAGAUGAGGGAAAUGGGGGAUCCGAGGGAUGGAACCUUCAGCUCUGGGCUACCCCUCCCUCAUGUAACCACCCUGACCUUUCCUCCCCCGCCAGCAUCAGCAGCCUCUGCUGCAAUCUCCCUGCACCUGCCGUGAGGCCAUGGAACGGUUGAGUGCAGGGAGGGGUGGUGUUGACCGUCUUCACUGUGGUGGCCUCAUAAUUUCAUUCAGGUCACCAUGUCCAGAGUUAACAUCCCCUGUUCUGCCUCACAGCGUCAUCCCACAGAAUUAAAGUAAUGUCCCCAUAUUGGAAGGCCGUCCGGAAGCAGGCUGAGUAGUAAGGUGACUUGGUCUCCAGGACUGAGGGCUUUGGGGUCUGGACAAAUCUGGGUGUGGAUCGGGUCUGCCUCCCUCGAGCAGAGUGACCUCCGGGCAGUUCUGUAACCUCCUUGAGACUCAGUGUCCUUGCCUGUCAAACAACUUCUUGUGAGGGGUGAGGGUGAAAUGAGUUUAGGUAAAGCUCCCAGCACUGCUCUUGGCUCAGAGAGAACACUCGCAACAAGGCUGUUGUUCAGAUGGCAACACUCCAGGCCAGCGCCUCCUACAAGCACAGACUCACAUGGCUCAAGUAUGGUGGUGUUGCCAUCUCGAGGGACUCAUAUUUCCAGAGCAGCAACUUCACGUGGAACCAGAAUGGAACAGGGCAAAAGGAUGCCGUGAACGUAGAGGCACACCACCCCCGCCCUGCUCUGGGCCUCUGGGGUGGGUGGGUGGCUCCUCUCUCUGUGGUUAAGUCCCUCUUUCCAAUCAGGUGACACCCCUUCUAUAUGUAAAGUCUGUAAGUCUAUUAAAAAGUGGAAGUAAGUGCAAA